GACGAACGCUGGCGGCGUGCUUAACACAUGCAAGUCGAGCGGAAAGGCCCUUCGGGGUACUCGAGCGGCGAACGGGUGAGUAACACGUGGGCAACCUGCCCCUCGCUCUGGGAUAACUCCGGGAAACCGGGGCUAAUACCGGAUAUGACCCUUCUAGGCAUCUUUGAGGGUGGAAAGUUUUUCGGCGAGGGAUGGGCCCGCGGCCUAUCAGCUUGUUGGUGGGGUAAUGGCCUACCAAGGCAGUGACGGGUAGCCGGCCUGAGAGGGCGACCGGCCACACUGGGACUGAGACACGGCCCAGACUCCUACGGGAGGCAGCAGGGGGGAAUAGUGCGCAAUGGGCGAAAGCCUGACGCAGCGACGCCGCGUGAGGGAUGACGGCCUUCGGGUUGUAAACCUCUUUCAGCAGGGACGAAGCGCAAGUGACGGUACCUGCAGAAGAAGCACCGGCCAACUACGUGCCAGCAGCCGCGGUAACAC
rnacentral:rRNA from 1 species